CCUACGGGUGGCAGCAGUCGAGAAUCAUUCACAAUGGGGGAAACCCUGAUGGUGCGACGCCGCGUGGGGGAAUGAAGGUCUUCGGAUUGUAAACCCCUGUCAUGUGGGAGCAAAUUAAAAAGAUAGUACCCCAAGAGGAAGAGACGGCUAACUCUGUGCCAGCAGCCGCGGUAAUACAGCGGUCUUAAUCGUUGUUCGGAAGCACUUGGCGUAAAGCGUUCGUAGGCUGUGUCGUAAGUCGUGUGUGAAAAGCCCGGGCUCAACCCGCGGACGGCACAUGAUACUGCGAGACUAGAGUAAUGGAGGGGGAACCGGAAUUCUCGGUGUAGCAGUGAAAUGCGUAGAUAGCGAGAGGAACACUCGUGGCGAAGGCGGGUUCCUGGACAUUAACUGACGCUGAGGCACGAAGGCCAGGGGAGCGAAAGGGAUUAGAUACCCCAGUAGUC
rnacentral:rRNA from 1 species